ACUUGCUAAAUGACCCGCAUUCUGCGGGUCACACCCGCAAAAUGAACCUAUCACCCGCGACGAUCUUAUGACCCGCGCGGGUCAUACGUAUCUCCCGCAUUCCGUAGAUAUGACCCGCAAUCACCCGCAUCCGCGUCUUUUAUUAGGAUCUCCGUACUUCCGGAAAUGUUCCGUUCGUGUCUCUCGGAAGUUUAGCUUUCAGUUAUAGGUAAAGUCCGUAUACUAAGUUAUUUGUUUUCACAAUGGCGUCCCUGUUUCGGAACCAGCCUGGCAAAUUCAAAAGUGGGUAAUGCUGACUCUGAGAGAACAUUUUCCAUGCUGAAGAAGAUCCAGACAGAAGGGAGAUCUGAAUUAGGAAAUGAUACAAUAUGUGCUUUGUUAUGUGCAAAACUAAAUCAACAUGGUUCAUGCUUUCAGUAUGCACCUAGGAAAAGAAAAACAUGUAUAUUGAUUAAGAAUAUGUAAUAAAACAAUGAAGGUGUGA